rnacentral:rRNA from 1 species
GACGAACGCUGGCGGCGUGCUUAACACAUGCAAGUCGAACGGAAAGGCCCUGCUUUUGUGGGGUGCUCGAGUGGCGAACGGGUGAGUAACACGUGAGUAACCUGCCCUUGACUUUGGGAUAACUUCAGGAAACUGGGGCUAAUACCGGAUAGGAGCUCCUGCUGCAUGGUGGGGGUUGGAAAGUUUCGGCGGUUGGGGAUGGACUCGCGGCUUAUCAGCUUGUUGGUGGGGUAGUGGCUUACCAAGGCUUUGACGGGUAGCCGGCCUGAGAGGGUGACCGGCCACAUUGGGACUGAGAUACGGCCCAGACUCCUACGGGAGGCAGCAGUGGGGAAUAUGGCACAAGGGGCGGAAGCCUGAUGCAGCAACGCCGCGUGCGGGAUGACGGCCUUCGGGUUGGAAACCGCUUUCGCCUGUGACGAAGCGUGAGGGACGGUAAUGGGUAAAGAAGCACCGGCGAACUACGU